AUACGGAGGGUCCAAGCGUUAUCCGGAAUCAUAGGGUUUAAAGGGUCCGCAGGCGGUCAAUUAAGUCAGAGGUGAAAGCCCAUCGCUCAACGAUGGAACUGCCUUUGAUACUGGUUGACUUGAGUUAUACGGAAGUAGAUAGAAUAAGUAGUGUAGCGGUGAAAUGCAUAGAUAUUACUUAGAAUACCGAUUGCGAAGGCAGUCUACUACGUAUAUACUGACGCUGAGGGACGAAAGCGUGGGGAGCGAACAGGAUUAGAAACCCUAGUAGUCC
rnacentral:rRNA from 1 species